AACGAACGCUGGCGGCAUGCCUAACACAUGCAAGUCGAACGAGACCUUCGGGUCUAGUGGCGCACGGGUGCGUAACGCGUGGGAAUCUGCCCUUGGGUUCGGAAUAACAGUUGGAAACGACUGCUAAUACCGGAUGAUGACGUAAGUCCAAAGAUUUAUCGCCCAAGGAUGAGCCCGCGUAGGAUUAGCUAGUUGGUGAGGUAAAGGCUCACCAAGGCGACGAUCCUUAGCUGGUCUGAGAGGAUGAUCAGCCACACUGGGACUGAGACACGGCCCAGACUCCUACGGAAGGCAGCAGUGGGGAAUAUUGGACGAUGGGCGAAAGCCUGAUCCAGCAAUGCCGCGGGAGUGAUGAAGGCCUUAGGGUUGUAAAGCUCUUUUACCCGGGAUGAUAAUGACAGUACCGGGAGAAUAAGCUCCGGCUAACUCCGUG
rnacentral:rRNA from 1 species